CGUAGGGAGCAAGCGUUGUUCGGAUUUACUGGGCGUAAAGGGCGCGUAGGCGGCGCGACAAGUCACUUGUGAAAUCUCCGGGCUUAACUCGGAACGGUCAAGUGAAACUGUCAUGCUAGAGUGCAGAAGGGGCAAUCGGAAUUCUUGGUGUAGCGGUGAAAUGCGUAGAUAUCAAGAGGAACACCUGAGGUGAAGACGGGUUGCUGGGCUGACACUGACGCUGAGGCGCGAAAGCCAGGGGAGCAAACGGGAUUAGAUACCCCGGUAGUCCUGGCCCUAAACGAUGAAUACUUGGUGUCUGGAGUUAUUAUCGCUCCGGGUGCCGUCGCUAACGUUUUAAGUAUUCCGCCUGGGGAGUACGCACGCAAGUGUG
rnacentral:rRNA from 1 species